rnacentral:rRNA from 1 species
AUUGAACGCUGGCGGCAGGCCUAACACAUGCAAGUCGAGCGGGGUUUUCGGACCUAGCGGCGGACGGGUGAGUAAUGCGUAGGAAGCUGCCCGAUAGAGGGGGAUACCAGUUGGAAACGACUGUUAAUACCGCAUAAUGUCUACGGACCAAAGUGUGGGACCUUCGGGCCACAUGCUAUCGGAUGCGCCCACGUGGGAUUAGCUAGUUGGGGCGGUAAUGGCACACAAAGGCGACGAUCUAUAGCUGGUUUGAGAGGAUGAUCAGCCACACUGGAACUGCAACACGGUCCAGCGUCCUACUGUAGGCAUCAGUGAGUAAUAUUAGACAAUGGGCGCAAUCCUGAUCCAGCCAUGCCGCGUGUGUGAAGAAGGCCUUCGGGUUGUUAAGCACUUUCAGCGAGGAGGAAGGGUGGUGUUUUAAUAGCACAUCAUUUUGACGUUACUCGCAGAAGAAGCACCGGCUAACUCUGUGCCAGCCGCCGCCGUAACAC